rnacentral:lncRNA from 10 species
AGGCAAUACAGCCUCCAUCUCUGAUGACAUUGGAACCCAGCCACCAUGCUGUGAGGAAGCCCAAGCGUCCUGUGGAGAGAUUAUGUGGGAGAGAACCAAGGCCCCCAGGCCACAGCAUUGGCUGAGCUCCCAGCCAACAGCCAGCAUCAAUUUGUGGAUAUUCUUGGAAGCAGAUAUUCCAGUCUCAAGAUGAGUUGUCCCAGCUGAUACCACAUUGAGCAGAGAUGAGCUGUUCCUGAUUGUCUAACUUCUUUUGUUAGAUCUUGCCUGGAGACAUCAAACCCUUCUUCCUGUUCCUCGCCUGCCAGAAACUCAAUCUGCCCUUGCGAGGACUUAUACGUUGAGUUCUUCUGUCAGAAAAAUCAAGUGUAGGAAAAAAAUCUUUGUAUUUCAGUAGAAAACAAUGCACUGUCUGUAGCACACCUUCCUGCAUUAUAAGAUUCUAGGCCUGUACAUUGUCUGAGCUAUUUUGAAACUCUCUGUAAGUUGUAACUGGUAUGUAAAUGCUGUACUGUCUGGUUGUGAUUUUAACUGACUUCUUCCUCACUGUGGAAAACUCAGUUUUGUCCCCAUUUGCAAUUUAUCUUAACAUUCCUUUACUCCAUAUAAAUCUGUUUUUGAGUUUUCCUUUAAACUGGUUAUAACACCUGCUUGCUUUUCUCAGAUCAUAUAAGUGAAGUAAAUUCUUCAACAUGUGCUAAUUUUUACAUCUAUAUGAGAGUCAUGAUUUUACCUUUCACUGAAAAUUAUCAUUUAACACAGGGAAGCCUUUGGGGGGAAGUGGCAGGACUUGGCUUCCAAAGAAGAAUGGACUGAAUCUCUGAGCCCUGUGUCUCUCCCCCAUUUAGGUUUGUGGCCACGCAUUCCUCAACUGCUCAGGCCCCGAAGCAUUCAGGUCAUUCUUGACCCUUCCCUUUCUUGCACCCCCAUCUCCAACCCUGUAUAGGCUACAUAAUGUCUCCCCAAAGCUGUCUACAUCCAAACCCUGGAAGCUGUGAAUGUUUGUUAUCUUACACAGCAAAAGGGACCUUGCAGAUUUGGUUAAAUUAUGGAUUUUGAGAUAGGGAUGGAUUAUCCAGGCAGACCAGUUGUAACUACAGGGAAGCAGAAGCAUCAUAGUCAGAAAAAGGAGAUGUGAGGAUCAAAGCAGGGUUGGAGAGAGGUGCUUUGAAAAUGGAGAAAGUGGGCACAUGCCAAGGAAUGCAGGUGGCCUCUAGAAGCUAGAAAAGGCGGGGGAAUUCUCCCCUCAGAGCCUCGGGAAGGAACCAGUCUUGCUACUCGAUUUUAGCCCCAUAAAACUAUUUUCAGAUUUCCUACCUCCAAAAUGGUAAGGGAAUAAAUUUAUAUUGUUUUAAACCAGUAACUGCAUAAUGUGUUACAAUAGCAAUGGGAAACCUAUACAAAUGCCAUAGUAAAUUACGUUGGCUUCAUCUUCAAAAUGUAGCCAGAAUCCGACCAUUUUUCCCCAGUGCUGCUGUUAGCAUUCGGGGCCAAGCCAGUUCCAUUCCUUGCCUGGGCUGUUGCAAUGGCCUGCAUAUGGGUCUCCUUGUUUACCCUGACCACCCAGCC